rnacentral:rRNA from 1 species
UACGUAGGGUGCGAGCGUUGUCCGGAAUUAUUGGGCGUAAAGAGCUCGUAGGCGGUUUGUCACGUCUGCUGUGAAAUCCCGAGGCUCAACCUCGGGCCUGCAGUGGGUACGGGCAGACUGGAGUGCGGUAGGGGAGAAUGGAAUUCCUGGUGUAGCGGUGAAAUGCGCAGAGAUCAGGAAGAACACCGGUGGCGAAAGCGGUUCUCUGGGCCUUACCUGACGCUGAGGAGCGAAAGCGUGGGGAGCGAACAGG